rnacentral:rRNA from 1 species
CAGAUGUGAAAGCCCGGGGCUCAACCUCGGAAUUUGCAUUUUGAAAACUGGCAAACUAGAGUACUGUAGAGGGGGGUAGAAUUUCAGGUGUAGCGGUGAAAUGCGUAGAGAUCUGAAGGAAUACCGGUGGCGAAGGCGGCCCCCUGGACAGAUACUGACACUCAGAUGCGAAAGCGUGGGGAGCAAACAGGAUUAGAUACCCUGGUAG